rnacentral:rRNA from 1 species
CAGUAGCCGCGGUAAUACGGAGGGUGCAAGCGUUAAUCGGAAUUACUGGGCGUAAAGCGCACGCAGGCGGUCUGUCAAGUCGGAUGUGAAAUCCCCGGGCUCAACCUGGGAAUGGCAGUGGAUACUGGCUCGCUAGAGUGUGUCAGAGGAUGGUGGAAUUCCCGGUGUAGCGGUGAAAUGCGUAGAGAUCGGGAGGAACAUCAGUGGCGAAGGCGGCCAUCUGGGACAACACUGACGCUGAGGCACGAAAGCGUGGGGAGCAAACAGGAUUAGAUACCCCGGUAGUCCCUGUCUCUUAUAC